CCCCCCCCCCCCCCCCCCCCCCCCCCCCCCCGCGGGAGGAGCGGCGCCUCCGCCGGGCCGCGCACCCGGCAGCGCUUACCUGCUGGGGAGCCGGGCACGGCAUGGGCGGGCGCGGACCUGCCGCGGAGCACGGCCGGAGAGCAGCACUGGGGGCUCGGUUCGUGACUUGCGGUUCUUGGGGCCUCCUUGUGGACAUUUCUACUCCUCCCAACAAGCGGGGAGUAGCAGAAUGAGUUUGUCAACACGUAUGCGAGUAGCAGACACUUGGCUUUCUGUGGAACUCGUGCAAGUGCAGGUUCGGGGUGAUGGGAAAGAGGAGUGACCAAGGACAGCACACCCGAGUCACCCCCACCCUGCCACGGCCGGCAUGGGGAGAGAGGAGACGGAGGCACUGAGUCUGCAGGUCGUGCUCGUCUAAGCUCCAGGCUUCAUUUCACAAGACCAUACCCACGGGAUUUAGUGUACAGAAAGAAUCAACUCAAAGAGCUUACAAAUUACUAAGUGUCCCACUGGCAAUAAAAUCUCACCUCGAGAGUUUAAUACAAAAGUUUUCAAGUUUUCCGGCAACACUUUUUUGUUUGUUCUUUACACUAUUUUUUUUUAAUCUCUUCAGUAUUUCCUUGAUUGCUGAUGUUUUCUAAUGCCAUAUAAGCAUUGCCUACAUGCACUGUCAGAGCAAGGGAAAUCAAGCAAGGACUAUAAACGCACCCUGCUUUCCUCACACACGGGCUGCAUCCCAGCCACUACUCAGCGACCUUUUUAUUAUCCUUAACAGGCUGAGUUACUUCAAAUUUGUGGGAUGGUUUACUUGAAAAAUUUCCUUCUGAGUCAAACCACUCACAUUACACUCGUGCUGUUUGCUGCAAGGCAAGGGGGACAUUACAAAUUACCUGGGGAUUUGCAGAGAACCUACUGGUGACUGCAGUGUGAUUUCUGCAGAGCUCUGACAAGUGCCCAGCUGGCAUGGACAGACAGAGCCUGCUUGGGCAGCAGAGUGGGCACGUGGGGCUGUCCCAGGCAUGGAGAUCCAGGUCACCUAACUGCUAACUGGACACUGUUACAAGCACUGAAAUUACCAGAAAAGUAGACUUUUGGGCAAAGGACUGUAGACACGACCACCCAGACCACUUCAUUUUGUCUUACUUCUGUGCUGUCAGAUAAACAACCAGAGCUUGCAGGAGCUUUGCAAGUAACGGCACUCUAGUAUCGACAGAAGCAUUGAGAACAGAGGGCAGGCAGUGACAGUCUUCACCGAUUUGGGAUUUAAAUAAAUGCAGAUAAACAAAAUAAAUAGAGGAUUAAGUGUACUGUGCCCUAAACAAUACCCUCCUUAUUUCCCAUCCCAAACUGUACUGUAAAACGUGGCAUAUUUGUGUUGGACAAGUGAGCCAAGCAAGGCAAUUCUUCUCUGUCUCUAAAGAAAUAAACAUUCUAAAUGAAGCCAUAAUAACUUUUCUGCAUCAGCUGGUUUCUAACUUUGGUAAUGAACUGACAUUUGAGGAUACAAAUAUAAACGAGCUAUUUUACUCACACUCUCCCUUUCAUCAUGUUCUUCAGUUAAUCCUUUGAGUAUUCAAAGUUCGGCUCACACAGUGCAUGCAUUCCUUCUAGAGGACAUUGAACAGCAAAGAGAAGAAUUUUAAGGAAAAGGCUUGUGGAAAAAAUCAGUGUGGAAUAUGAUCUAUGGCUUGUAUUUUCAUUCUUUGGAGUAAGGUAAUUUAAUUAUAAUGAAAUUAUGCCUGGAAGGAGAUGAAACAGAAAAGUGAAUUAGCCUUUUGUUUGACUAUUUGCAUCCCAAUUCUCGCCAAAAAAGAAAAGUUUCCAAGCCGUGCAGGGAACUAAGUGAGACCGGGGUUGGUAGAUCCAUGUCAAGGGGUCUGUCCUGUGUGUCUGAACUUCUGCUAUCGUGUGAGGGGAAACACACAAAACUCAGCGCAGGUAUCGGACACCAGCGGACCC
ensembl:lncRNA